AUGAACUUUAUUGUAUUUAUCCUAGUGGAUCUAUUGUUAAACGGGUAAACUAGCAGUAGCUAUUUGUUUUGUGCUUUGGCUAAGUUAAUUAUGUCUUCUUCACACCAAUAAAUUUUACUAUAUAUAUCUUGUCUUUUUAGUUUUUUGCUAAAGAAAAUAGUGUUUCUUAUCGAAAAUUUUAGAAAUUCCCAUUUUUGUACAGCUGUUUGAAGAUUAUUAUCUUUUUUAGUGUCCCUUAUCAUUUUCUUUAUGCCGUCACAAUGUUCCCUAUUUUCUAGUAGACUAUUAUUCAAUUUCCAGUAAUCUCUAAUAUUUUUUUUCUUCUUGUAAACAUGUUAUGUUUAAAUUAACUACACAGUGAUCUGUUAAGGGUCUACUUGAUAUUGUUGAAGAACAUUUAUAGUCUGCUACUGCAUUAGAUAUUAGCCAAUAGUCAUUUCUUGAGGACGCCUGACCAUUAGGUUUUCUCCAAGUGAAGGAUCUAGGCUGUUUUUGAAUCGCCCAAACAGGACGUGACCAGCCGUCCAAUUGCUGACAAGAAUAUCAAAGGGUAGGAAUGGGAAUGUAUCCAAUCAGCGUCGACGUUGUUUCAGAAGCAUGAUGGGCGAUGGAGCUACCGCCAAAGGAUUCGUUGGUGUUCGGUAGAACUCGGCAGAGUCGUUUUUGGUCGUGACGCAGAUGUAACAUGGACGCUGCCGGUGACUACAACCAGCAUGGAUACCGGAUCUCAGCAGCCACUGAAUUCAGUUCGGUCUCUUCUCCAGUAUCCGUUCGAGAGGAGAACUAUGGUGGAAAAACUUAAUGUCAAAGAGCUUGGACCAGAUCAGCCCGACGUAUAAGCCAGCAGGAGAAGGAGAGAGAUAAGGCAUGGAUGAGUCAGGAGUUACAGACAUGAAACAUUUUUCUGAGAAGGUGAAGAAACACGAGUCAUCCCGGGCACACAUGGACAACAACACGGUGAAGCUAGCCAUGCUAGGCAGCAGAGCUAACGUUGCCAUGCAGGGAACAACAGCAGCUGGGUGCAGAGGUAAGCUGUACAUUACAUUUCUGUGAACAAGACAAUCAGAAUCAGAAAUCCUUGGUUGUCCCACAAACCGGGACAUUUGUUUAAUAACAUGUUUAAUGUGCAAUAACUGUAAAAACUAAUUUCAACACACAUACUUAUUAUACAUAUUUAAUCACGUAAAUGUGUAUUUCAUGUAAAUUUGUACAUACAUCAAUCUGAUUCCAGUUUACUUGUUACACUUCUGCUGCAGCAAACAAAUUUCCCAGCUUUUGGGACAAUUAAACAUUUCUGAUUCUCAAUUAGAUGUUUUUACCUCAAAUGUAAAAACAUCUGAUUGAGAAUCAGAAAUGUUUUAUUGUCCCAAAAACUGGGAAAUAUGACAUUUGUAAGAGGAUACUGAUGACAUUAUUUCCUAUGAAAGUGUUUCCUAUGUACUUAUCUGUUGUUUUUUAUUUAUCUACUUUAAAGAGGAUUAAGACUUUCCUUGAGGAACACCAUGACACAGGAUGGGCUGAAUGCUCUUGCCAUGCUCUCCAUGGAAAAAAAAGCUUGUCACAAACAUUCCUGACUUCAAUAAAAAGCUCAUCGAGAGCUUUGCCACUCAGAAGGACAGAAGGGCAAAAUUUCUGUACAAAUGAGGUAUCACACACACACACACACACACACACACACACACACA